GUGCUCGCUUUGGCAGCACAUAUACUAAAAUUGGAACGAUACAGAGAAGAUUAGCAUGGCCCCUGCUCAAGGAUGACAUGCAAAUUCGUGAAGCAUUCCAUAUUUUU
rnacentral:snRNA from 1 species